UACGUAGGGUGCAAGCGUUGUCCGGAAUUAUUGGGCGUAAAGAGCUCGUAGGCGGUCUGUUGCGUCGGUUGUGAAAACCUGGGGCUCAACUCCAGGCCUGCAAUCGAUACGGGCAGACUAGAGUGUGGUAGGGGAGACUGGAAUUCCUGGUGUAGCGGUGAAAUGCGCAGAUAUCAGGAGGAACACCGAUGGCGAAGGCAGGUCUCUGGGCCACUACUGACGCUGAGAAGCGAAAGCAUGGGGAGCGAACAGG
rnacentral:rRNA from 1 species